rnacentral:lncRNA from 10 species
GCAAGAUUGUAAUGAGACUAAUGAGAGCUCAUUUCUCCCUGUAAAUAAAUCUGUAGGUAAUCAGGAGCUCAGUGUCCGUUUGGUAAAAAAGCUUUCCUUGAUCAAAGUCACUGAUCAGAAUUAUAAUGACAACCCAUGCUUCUGUUUCUCUUUUGGUUCUUUGAUUACUUAUAUAUAAAUUGAGUGAACUAAACCAGACAGCCAGAUCACAGUGAAUUUUAUUUAAUUACGUGCAACUUGUUCACUUAUACAUUUUCCUCUGUUGAGACAAUCCAGAAGCUACUCAGGAUACUUAUUUGCUUAUUCCUCUAAUUAAGCAAAGCUAUCUAUAGCCUAGAAUGCUAAUCUAAAACUGCAUUUUGUUUCUGCAGCAAUGAUCUCUGUCCAACCCCACAGCACAUUCCGGCAUUUGCACUGUGCCGUGGACGCCGCUGCAUUGUGCAUGCUCCAGGCUAUGUUUGUGGACAGUCACGUCGCCGCGGAAGUCAAGCUCAUUUGUCAUCCUUGCUAGGCACUUGCAGGGCUGCCUGAAGAGAAAAAUAUCUGAAAGCAGGCAGUGACGAAGGUAAAGAAGAGACUCAGGAGUGGAAGGGCAGAAGGGGGCUGUGGGGGUGGAUGUACGGAACCAGGCAUAUCUGAGUCCCUGGAAGGACAGGCUCCUGCGUCAUAAUUCUGCUUCUGAUGGGAGGCCUUCGCAGUGACAAACCUGGGCCUUCUGGCUCUCCGUAUGUCUUAGACCUCAUUUUGAAACAGGUUAUUGCAGUAAUGGCCCCCGAUUUGUCCACAUCUCCCCGUAUCCACACCCUUAGGUAAUCCUUUCCACACUGACUCGGAGCUGGGAUGGUAGCAAAUACGAUUCAAGCAGAGACUUGAAAAGGGCUUGUGGGUUGGGGCUUACUUACUUGUUUCUCUUGGAACUCCGUGACUCUCAUGUGAAUAAGCCUGGAAUAAACUCCUCUAAAAUGAGAGACCACAUAGAGAGAGAGGCCCUUAUCAUCCCAGCCAUCCCAUCCGAAGCCUUCAUAAACCAGCCAACUCUAGACAACUCAUCAGUCUCAGCAAUAAACCCAGUUAGGAACAGCCAGGCCAGGCCCAGAGCAGAAGAAUUGCCCAGUUGAGCUCAGCUCCAAGGUACUGAGCUGCACACUUGUGUGCUGAAUAAGUGACAUGGUGCGUUACAAGGCAAAAGAUAACUGAUAAAUGCCUUAAUACUUGGCUUGCCUAUCCAUUUCAGAAAUAAUUCCAAUUCAGUCUUUCAUGAAUGUUUUCACGGUUUCAUUUGGAAAAUUCUGCUCUAAAAAUUAUAAAGGGGUGAAAAUAUAAGGCAACUUAGUAUACUAUCACCAUUUGAGAAGGGUAUUUUCUAAAACAGUCUCUCCUAGUAACUUUCAGAGGUAUUUGUGAGGUGAAAUGAGAGUGGGGAAGAGACUUCUAAAAUCACGUUGCUAAAAGAAAGUGGCAUCGCUUAGCAGCAACAUUUCAAAACCAGAGAAUCUUCAAAUAUUCUAGCUUAUCCACAUAUUUGUGUAUCACAAAUGUGAUAUGAUGGACAUUUUCACUGUUGCAGGAAAAUCAGCCCUGACUCUCUUGUCUCGUACUUAAAUAUGAUUCUUAAUGGACCUACAUUUCAAACUCCUGGAUCCCUUCUCAAGCUCCAAGUGCCUUAAGUUUGAGUUGACGUGGCGAGUGUGGGAGAAAGUAAGAAACAUUAAAUACUUGCAAUUUACACUUUGGGAGUUUCCAAAAUUCAACUCAUUCAUUUUUUUUUCCAGCAAAUAUUUUAUUGAGUGUCUGGUCACCACCUUGUGUGCUGCUCUGAAAACCUGCUAUAACUGCACAAAGGUGGCAGAGCACAUUGCUCUUAAUUCCCAUGGCUUUCUUGGGAAACUGUACACUACCACUGCAGUCACAAUAUGGUCUUCCUCUCUUCCCAGCCACCCCCACCAUAAAGCUACCUGAAAUAAGGGCACAUUACAUAUUUUCUGAUGGUCUUUCCUCUGUAGAGAAAUGUAGAUCCUGGAUAAAGACCCUUGGCAAGGACCUUUUUCCUCUGCCUGAUAUUUGUAUUCAAGCAAAAUAAUGAUAGUAAGAGUAAGCAUUUAGAAAGUGUUGACUAUGUAGCCUAGCACUGCUCCGACACUUUACGUUUAUUAAUAGACGACUGAGGCUAGCUUUGAUCAAUAAAAUCACGUGAGUAGGCACAUUUGCCACUCGGUGGUACAAGAAGGAGUCCCUAUGGCAUCGCAUGACUGUCCAUGGAGUUUCCAGAGAGGUGAUAACUGAUGCUGUGAACUCCUGGUUUCCAGGAAACGGCUCUAAGCUUGUCUCUAAGGUAUCUAAACAAAUAUUUUAUUAUCUUCUGGGAAUUCUGAUCCUGCAACCUAAAUCAAAGAUCCCAAACACUAAAUCAAAUUUUUGUGGCCUUCAAAGCUUAAUAUGAAAAUUACCAGUGAUGUUUUUCUUCCCCCAUAAUAUGACAUUAGGAGCUUAGUAAUGCAUAUCUAGAUGUGAGUUGACAUUUACACUUGUUAUUUGUUGGGAAGGAUGAGUAUGCUUCAUAAUUUAUAUGUAUCAAAUAUCUUCAUUUGUGUAAAUCAAAGAGUUACUAAUAAAAAUGCUAAGAGAAGCUG